UGGGGAAUUUUGGACAAUGGGGGAAACCCUGAUCCAGCCAUCCCGCGUGUGCGAUGAAGGCCUUCGGGUUGUAAAGCACUUUUGGCAGGAAAGAAACGUCGUGGGUUAAUACCCCGCGAAACUGACGGUACCUGCAGAAUAAGCACCGGCUAACUACGUGCCAGCAGCCGCGGUAAUACGUAGGGUGCAAGCGUUAAUCGGAAUUACUGGGCGUAAAGCGUGCGCAGGCGGUUCGGAAAGAAAGAUGUGAAAUCCCAGAGCUUAACUUUGGAACUGCAUUUUUAACUACCGGGCUAGAGUGUGUCAGAGGGAGGUGGAAUUCCGCGUGUAGCAGUGAAAUGCGUAGAUAUGCGGAGGAACACCGAUGGCGAAGGCAGCCUCCUGGGAUAACACUGACGCUCAUGCACGAAAGCGUGGGGAGCAAACAGGAUUAGAUACCCUGGUAGUCCACGCCCUAAACGAUGUCAACUAGCUGUUGGGGUCUUCGGACCUUGGUAGCGCAGCUAACGCGUGAAGUUGACCGCCUGGGGAGUACGGUCGCAAGAUUAAAAACUCAAAUG
rnacentral:rRNA from 1 species